AUGGCGUUUUAAGUUAGGUUGUAAUUGAACCAUUAAGGAACAAAUUGUAGAAUAAUGCGUAAAAGCUACUUGAAUUCAAUAUUCUUUUACAAUAAUAAAUUUGAAGAUCUAAAAAUUUGAAAUUUUGAAAAUUGAAGAUAUAAAAGAUUUAAAAAUAAAAUAUGUUAACGCAGCCUUGACGCUUGAUAGAUUAAUUGACCUAACCGACGGUCUGUAAGACCACCCAAUGCGUCCCUGAGAUCACUCCUCACGUGUCAACGACGACGGAACUCGCGAAGCGGAAUAGCACCAGCACCAACAAAAAUUCCACUCCUCGGUGAAUUUCCUGAUUACCUGUCGCACCACUCUAUCCAUACUGUUGGAAGAUAUUCAGAAAACUGAAGCACCGUGCGGAAUGCUGAAUUAUAGUGACGUUUUGCGUUAUAGCUGGCUUAUAUAGAGAGCUCGCCUACGCCUACAAAGAUUCAUUUCCUGUCGGGCACGGAUCCUUCUCCAGUACGAGGAUGAUCCGCGUGGAUAUCCCCCCGUGUAUAAAACUGGGGGUCUCCCCUUGUACUCCAGUUCACAUAGGAACGCCAACCGUGUGGAAAGCCCGCGCUUUAUUUCCCAUUGUUUCAGGUGUCUGGCAUGUGCGAUUUUGGGGCGGCGCUGCUGUAUGAGAGGAACGCGUCUUCCAGAGCGGAGAAAGCUGAUUACUUCACCGCGUGGGACACAGCCUUCCAGCGGAUCUAACAUCAGGACUAAUUAGCCAAUCGGGCCUUAAUUAAGACACAGGACCAUUGUCCAUCCUCUUAAUCUUGUGGCGUAACACUUCUCUAAAUUUUCUUCCCAUAUCCUUAUACCAUACUAAGGAAUGACGCACAAUUUUAGGUUAUGCCGGUUUAAUAUAAGGAGAAGCGGUGAAAUGAUUUCAUUCGUAUUCUAUCUUUGGUAAAUUGAAGGUAUUGUAGUGUCGAGGAUCUGGAAUUUUAAAGAAGUAUGUGCACGCAUCAGGAAAAAGUCGGGGUCGAGGUUGACGUCGCGAACUUGAUCUGAUCUGUACCGGUUUCUUCUAUCGAGUUGAUUUAUGAAAUGGAUUAGAAGGAGGAAAAAUUAAGAGUGACUGAUGGUCGAGGAUUAGAUUGGAAUAUAUGAUGCUGAUGAUCAGUUGGUUAUGAAAGUAGCUAAUUAAGGUAAUUACUGAUAUUUAAAAGAGGUACCAAAUGUCAGUAUAAUAGGCAGUACCAUACUAAUAUGAUCAGCUAUUUUCGAGCGUUAUUUACAAGUCAUGAAUUAAUCAAAUUUAGCUUCAGUUAUGUUUAUAGAAAAAUCCAAUACUUAUCAAUAUUUGAAAAAUUUAAAGUAGAAGAAAUGAAUAGCUGAAGCGCAUAAAUAGAUAAAUGAAUGUGCAAAGUAUGUACUGAUAGUUAACAUUUAUGUGAUCGUAGUCUCGUUUCACCCGUUACAUUCUUUUAAUUUGAUAUUCGUCAGAUUAAAGAUUACCAAUAUUAGAACUGAUCUCUACUGUACUUUAAAAUUAGUAUUAUUGUUAAAUAUUAAUAUUCGUAUCAAUAAUUAUGUAUGAAUACUAAUGAAAUGCUUUAUAUCUCCAUCUUAUAUACAUGACAGCCAAAAAAAAAUAUUUUGAUAGAGUGUUUGCUACUCCGUGAAGACAAUCGAAGUUGCGUCAGAGUACAGAGGGAGAUUUAUUUAUUCCAUCGUCGACAGACCGCAACGCAUCUCCGCGAAUGUCCAUAGUCUUGGUCAAUAAUAUUAUACACGCAACGACGCAUGUCAAGGAAUGGCACGAGUUUGUGUUUAACGCAAAUGUGUAACGCAAACGAACGCUGGAUGGGACAAGAUCGGCACGCGGCCCUAUUUAGAAAGUAUCCUCCGUAUUUGAAUGGCGUUAAAAUCAUCUUUCGAACUGGUCAUUUCACCUAUGCGACUAUGUUAUUACAUUACUGUGAAUAAUCACGUUUCGUAAUUCAUCUCCGUUGAAUCCUGCUUCUUCUCAACCGGUGAAUGAUGACAUUUUAUUUAUCUGGUUCAUUCAAGCAAUAUUUAUAGUCUUGUUUCAGUUUAUCGAGGUUACCAGAAAGAAAAUCUAAUAAUUUAUUAGUAAUAAAUAUGAUGGUACUAAUUUGAGUGAUUUAUGGGAUGCCUCCCAUGGUGGUAUACUCUGGGAGUGCACAUUAUUAACCUAAUUGAAGGGUCGGACAAUGCAGUUCUAUAAAUGGUUGGUCCAACGAAGUAAUAAAUCCACAAUCAUAAUAGUUUUACAUUCUACUAGUUAUAGUUACAAUUUCUAAGGCGUGAAAUUUUACUUGACAUGUGAGUAUGAAUAGAUAAAUAUUGGCAAUAUUCUUCUAAAUUAUAGAAUAACAUCGAAAGGUGGUAAUUAAUUAAGUCAUUCACCAGUCAAACAACUGAGAACAGUUUUUCAUGUCCUAGGACCUCUUUGAAGUUAGGCAAACGCAACGAAAUUAAUAAUAAUCGUUAAUCUUGUUUAGGACAAUAGGCGUAAUCAUGAGCUUACGAUCUAAUCUCUCGGAUCAAUGAGUCAAAUAAACCUAAUCAAGACCGGUUUAUUGUUUAUUUAGUGUGCGAAUUCUCACUUUCGAUUCCUUUCGUAACCUUUCCCUGAUUGUUCACCGUUACGUGAACGGAAACAAUUGCGUUGCGAUAAACACAUGCUCCCUCUAGGGACUAUUUGCUUAAUUAACAAUUCUUAGAAGAUUUCGGGGUAAUUCGUGCUCUAGUUACCGAAAAGUUGCCACUUCAUUGUUUCACUGAAAAAUUGUUUGGUCCCACCCUUAUUACGUAACGUACAAAUUUGCAUUAUCUUUGUUAAGAAAUUCUAUAAAAAGAAACAUUACCUUCUGGUGUUAUUAUAAUUUAUAUUUUAUUACAAUUUAUGAUUUAUAACUUAUACUAUUUGAUAUUAUAUAUCUUUGUUAUCAUGAUCCCUGGUAGCAUAUAUGUAAUGAAUGAUAGGAAAUUAAUUAUUUGCAGAAAUGGAAUAUAAAAGAUUUACAAUUUUUUUCCUAUUAAAUAAGAUUAAGAUUUUUAAUUUAGUAAAAUUAUAUAAAUUAUGAUUCAGCUUUUUAUGUUAAUCAUAUUUCUCCAUUUUCAGAAUUCUUCAGAUAUCAUAGUAGAAUUUAUAUGUAGAUAAUAAGAAGAUAAAACAUGAUACAAAUGCUAUAGGAUCUUCCUACUUUCUCCAGACGAUUAAAAAGGAUUCUGCAGACGAUCUAUUUAGAUAAUCUUUUUCUCUCUGAAGCAUGAUAGACAAGGUCAUUAUGCGCUCAAAGGAUGCUCUAAAUUCGUUUCAAUUUUACGCAACGCAUCCUUCAGCACAAUUUGACCGAUCUCCUCUUUCUCUCCUCUGUAUGUAUAUGGUUUGAUGUUACCAUAUCUCAUUGUGAAACAGCGUGAUGUGAAUAAUGAAUUAACUGGACGAAGAAAAGGCAUCAUCCCAGUGGGCGCCUAACAAAAAGUCCAUUAUUUCAUCAUAGUUGGCGUCACGCGACCCCUUCGAUCUGACAUCGAGAUCGAAAGUAAAUCAAGGAUGCAUAUAAAAGUGCUUAAGCACUUUCAAGUCAGUUUUACGUAAAGAUGAAUCGAAAGGAAUCGCGAGCUUCUCAGAAGCCGAAUGUAUCAACUCCUCACUUUUUGUAAAAUUUUCACUUAUUCUAUUCUUUUUUUAUUCACACAUGUAUAUCCUAUUUAACUUUAAAAAUAAUAAUAUAUAGAUAAUAUAGGAUAAAAUUAA